rnacentral:rRNA from 1 species
UGGGGGAUAUUGCACAAUGGGCGAAAGCCUGAUGCAGCGACGCCGCGUGGGGGAUGAAGGCCUUCGGGUUGUAAACUUCUUUUGCUCUGAACAAGGCGCACCAUGGGGUGUGUUGAGUGUAGGGGUUGAUUAGCGCCGGCUAACUACGUGCCAGCAGCCGCGGUAAUACGUAGGGCGCGAGCGUUGUCCGGAAUUAUUGGGCGUAAAGGGCUUGUAGGUGGCUGGUUGCGUCUGUCGUGAAAGCUCAUGGCUUAACUGUGGUUUGCGGUGGGUACGGGCUGGCUUGAGUGCAGUAGGGGAGGCUGGAAUUCCUGGUGUAGCGGUGGAAUGCGCAGAUAUCAGGAGGAAUACCGGUGGCGAAGGCGGGUCUCUGGGCUGUUACUGACACUGAGGAGCGAAAGCAUGGGGAGCGAACAGG